rnacentral:rRNA from 1 species
UGUGGUAAUGAUGGCAAGAAGGACACACCUGUUCCCAUCUCGAACACAGAAGUUAAGCUUCUU